rnacentral:lncRNA from 1 species
UGCAAAACCGACACACUCAAACUUACAGUUUAUGUACAAUGAUAGCAAGCAACACUGUCUUUUCAUGCUUCGGCUUUGUCUAGUAUCAGAAUACCAUAUACAGAUGUACAAGAGACGCCCAGCUGGAUGCGAACAAGGUGGGCAGUCCAAUGCAUUUCUUGAUGCUGUUGGCAGCACCAUGGUGAUUGUUAUGGUGGCGAUUGUUAACUGAACCUGCUGUGUAUACAGGUACGAAAGUUGAACCUUGUGUAUUUGGAGAUCUGGUCCCGCCGUUAUUUCCAUUCUCACCAAUACUAGUUGAUCUGCCCUUUGCACUUCCAUGACUGUAUCCAUGUUCAAGUUUGCCGCUAUGUGCUAUUCUGCUUCUGCUAUUAUCACUAUCAUCAUCACUACCAUUGCUUCCAUGUCCAUUUGCACCUUCAUCUUCUGUGGUGGUUUCCUGCAUAAAUUCUGCAACGAAUUCUUUUAGAAGUUAACCAGUACCGAAACUUGUUUAACAAGGUCACAGAUUUCUUUUUGCCAUUAGGAAAUCAGAAAACUUCUGUAUAUAAAUUUUUAUUUUUUAUACUUUUUUUUUAUCUGGCAUUGGGGGUGGUUGAAUUAUUGUCAAAUAGAGCGACUUUCUUUUUGGUCCAAAAACUUGUAGAGGAAGAAGAAUUUGAAAAGAUUGUAAUGGUAAUAGACUCGAUUGUCAAUUCUGUUUCAAAUCG